ACUACAUUUCCCCUCGAGACUAAGGACAAAGCCACAAUGUGACGCCUUGCUGUAUUUUAGUCUGCUCUGUUUGACUCUGCUGAAUCAACUCUUUUCCUUCAGAGUUGACCUAAGUCAUGCCCCAGCCUCCUGGAUUUCCUUCUUUGGGGAGCCAGGCGUUGUGGGAGGAAAAAGAAACCCUCCUCUCUCACCCUCACACAGACUAUCUCCCUGUGAACACCCUGAGACCAAUGUGAGAUGAAAGAAACAGACUUCGUGCACAAGCCUACUCUGCGUGCAGUUUGACUCGGAUCAUUCAGAAGAGAGAGGAUUAUUUGAAGCUUUUGAGCGCGGUGUGUGGAAAUGUGCUGAGAAUUCCAAUUGGCACUUAUCAUCUCUCAGGAAGAACACCUGGUGGCACAACCUAAACAUACUUUCAUGAAUGUUUCCGAAUGCUUGUCACGUGACUGACAUUCUAAACAUUGUUUAUAUGUGCUAAAUGCAAGGCGCAUUCUAGGAAGCCAAGCUGUACACUGUAACUGCACACAGCACAAGAAGCUGUAAGCACACAGGAAAGUGCACUCAUACUAUGCAGGUUUGCUCACGUAUAUACUGGGCUGUUUUGUCUGGGUUUAACUUAUACUGAUAUCAUCAAUGUUGGAGCAAAACCUUGUAUUUCCAAAAUGGUAAAUUGGUGACACUUUAUUUUGACUGGUCCUUUGUACAUGAAAUCAACACUCAACAGACUCUCAAGUUACAUAUCAACAACAUAUCAAUGGUGUAGCAGCAGUGAAUACGUCCAGUAGAUUAUUGAGAGACUUUUAAUUAACUGCAGAAUUUUUUUCAUAUUCUGCUGAAUUCAGUUGUUUUUCACUUUAUUUGGAGUGUCUAAGUUUAUAUCUGUGGAUGUUAACCUGGAAGGUCACUGAACACAUAACAGGUUUAAUACAGACCAUCUCAACAUCCUCAACAAGUUGUUAUAGACACACUUCUGACACCAUUUGGUAACUGGAGCUUAACUGGAUUAGGUUAAGUUUAGGGUUAGCAUUAGGGCCAGAAUAAGGGGUAGGAUUAGGUUUUAGGGUGAGGUUAAGGUUAGUGUUAGGAUUAGGGCCAGAGUGAGGGUUAGGUUUUGCAUAAGGUUAGGUGUUGCAUAGUAGAAUUAUCAUAUAAAGUGUAAUUAAUUCACAUCAAUAAUACUAAUGUAAGUAAUGUAUCAACAGUAUAUCUUAAUAUAUUUACCUCAAUAUAUUGAGAUGCUUCACUACUGUUACUUCACAGAUAUGUUGUUGAUGUGUUACUGAUAAACUGUUAAGUGUUUAUUACUCAUCUACAAAUGAUCACUCAAAUAAAGUAUUACGGUAAAUUGUCAGAAGAAUAAAAAAAUGUACAUUGAUGUACGGAAUGUUUUUGGCCCAUUCAUCCUCACAUUUUCAAAUAAUACAAAUGCCAGUUAGUAUUUGUUAAUGGUGUAA